rnacentral:rRNA from 1 species
AUAUUAAUAAGCGGAGGAAAAGAAACUAACAAGGAUUCCCCUAGUAACUGCGAGUGAAGCGGGAAAAGCUCAAAUUUAAAAUCUGGCGGUCUCCGGCUGUCCGAGUUGUAAUCUAGAGAAGUGUUAUCCGCGCUGGACCGUGUACAAGUCUCCUGGAAUGGAGCAUCAUGGAGGGUGAGAAUCCCGUCUUGACACGGACUACCUGUGCGUUGUGGUAUGCUCUCAAAGAGUCGAGUUGUUUGGGAAUGCAGCUCAAAAUGGGUGGUAAAUGCCAUCUAAAGCUAAAUACUGGCGAGAGACCGAUAGCGCACAAGUA